GAUGCUGUAGCCGCUGGAAAGGCAUAGGUUUCAUAGACUGAAGUUGAUGGUUCGAAUCCAUCCAGCAUCA
rnacentral:tRNA from 1 species